CUACGGGGGGCAGCAGUAGGGAAUAUUGGACAAUGGGGGAAACCCUGAUCCAGCCAUGCCGCGUGAGUGAAGAAGGCCCUAGGGUUGUAAAGCUCUUUCAGUAAGGAAGAUAAUGACGGUACUUACAGAAGAAGCCCCGGCUAACUUCGUGCCAGCAGCCGCGGUAAUACGAAGGGGGCUAGCGUUGCUCGGAAUUACUGGGCGUAAAGCGGGUGUAGGCGGCUUAGUUAGUCGGAUGUGAAAGCCCCGGACUCAAUCCGGGAACUGCAUUCGAUACUGCUAAGCUAGAGAAUCAGAGAGGAAAGCGGAAUUCCUAGUGUAGAGGUGAAAUUCGUAGAUAUUAGGAGGAACACCAGUGGCGAAGGCGGCUUUCUGGCUGAUUUCUGACGCUCAGACCCGAAAGCGUGGGGAGCAAACAGGAUUAAAUACCCCGGUAGUC
rnacentral:rRNA from 1 species